GACAACAACAGAGGAGAACACAAGAAAAAGGAAUUGGUAUGUGUUUCUUUGCAUUUGUUCAAUCGCUAACUUGUUAAGUUUUUAAAUGCAGAGCUAUGGCGAACAUCUCAAACUUCUCGAGGAAGACAGAGACACGGUGGAAGAGGAUAAGGAGGAAAGUCAAAAUAAUAAAGUGUAAGUGUUUUGUUUUAGACUAGCUUCUAACUUUUUCUUUAGACUUUUCUUUCAGAUGCGGAGCAUGAAGAUGAGGAGAAGAUCAAGUAUAAGACAGAGGUUUAUGUGUUUUGUUUUUUUUACUUGCUUCUAACUUUUUCUUUAGUCUUUCCUUUCAGAUACGGAGCACGAAGAUGAAGAGAAGAUCAAGAAGAAGACAGAAGACCUUUCCUUUAAGAUGAAGAGCACGAAGAUGAAGAGAAAAUCAAGAAGAAGACAGAAGACCUUUCCUUUAAGAUGAAGAGCACGAAGAUGAAGAGAAAAUCAAGAAGAAGACAGAAGACCUUUCCUUUCACACGCAGAGCACGAAGAUGAAGAGAAAAUCAAGAAGAAGACAGAGUUAUGCAAAGAACGAAAAUAAAGAAGAAAAUCAAAGAAGAA